rnacentral:rRNA from 1 species
GACGAACGCUGGCGGCGUGCUUAACACAUGCAAGUCGAACGGUGAAGCGCCUUCCUUUUUGGUGGGUGUGGAUGAGUGGCGAACGGGUGAGUAACACGUGAGUAACCUGCCCCCUUCUUCUGGAUAACCGCAUGAAAGUGUGGCUAAUACGGGAUAUUCUGGGUCUGUCGCAUGAUGGGUCUGGGAAAGAUAUUGUUUCGGUGGGGGAUGGGCUCGCGGCCUAUCAGCUUGUUGGUGGGGUGAUGGCCUACCAAGGCGGUGACGGGUAGCCGGCCUGAGAGGGUGGACGGUCCCACUGGGACUGAGCCACGGCCCAGACUCCUACGGGAGGCAGCAGUGGGGAAUAGUGCACAAUGGGCGCAAGCCUGAUGCAGCGACGCCGCGUGAGGGAUGGAGGCCUUCGGGUUGUGAACCGCUUUCGCCAGUGAAGCAGGCCUGCCUCGUUUGUGGGUGGGUUGACGGUAGCUGGAUAAGAAGCGCCGGCUAACUACGUG